CUGACUGUGGGGGAGGGGCUGCACACCUGAGUACAGGUGAGGGGACAGGUGUGCACCUGAGUGCAGGUGAGGGGACAGGUGCAUGCCUGAGCGCAGGUGAGUGGAGGGGGGUGCAUACCUGAGUGCAGUGAGUGACGCGGCUCAGCCGUCGGAGCGGACAGUAGCCAGAGGCUGGCGCUGCCUCGGACAGGCCCUGGCCAGUCGCUGAGCGGCCCUGGCCCCGCGCGGCCGCGGGGGGGCGCUGCAGGCGUCUCCGGGCUCCCAGGUCCCGCGUCCCGCGGUCCCCAAGUCCCGACCACCCGGCGCCCCACUCAGCCGGAUCCUGUCUGGGAAGAGAAGGCGCAGCACCAGGCCCGGCCGCCCUCCUGCGUGGAGCUGGCUGCAGCGUCGGCCGCUCCGUGACCACCGGACGGGUGUCUCCCCGAAGUGACCCCCCUGGGCAGUGGACACACGCCCAGGCUGCGCGCCCGUGUGCAAAGCAACGCCCCCCCUGCAGCCAAGCGGAAGCCACCCUUGCACCCCAACAGCCGAGUGGCCAGAAGACGUGGUCCCCACGGGGAAUACUAUGCAGCCCUCAAAAAGGUGAGCACAGCCACAUGGGUGGAGCCGGACGGCGUAAAGCCCCGCAAGCUGAGUCAGAGGUAAAGGGAAAGUGGGGUGCUCUCCCCUAGGAGGGGCAGCGAGCAGGGGCAGGAAACAGGUGGGAGUCUACGGGAAAACUGGAAGUGGACACUGGGUGGGAUCCAGAGGCGAGGGAGGUGGACGCGGCUGUGGGACGGUUCAGGGGGAGUUCGGGGGUUCACAGGUUACACCUGAGGGCGGAAAGCAGACAGACCGUUGAACAGCGAUGUCAGAAUAAAAUUUGAAGAAGACGUGAGUU